UACGUAGGGUGCGAGCGUUGUCCGGAAUUAUUGGGCGUAAAGGGCUCGUAGGCGGUUUGUUGCGUCGGGAGUGAAAACACCGGGCUUAACUCGGUGCUUGCUUUCGAUACGGGCAGACUAGAGGUAUGCAGGGGAGAACGGAAUUCCUGGUGUAGCGGUGAAAUGCGCAGAUAUCAGGAGGAACACCGGUGGCGAAGGCGGUUCUCUGGGCAUUACCUGACGCUGAGGAGCGAAAGUGUGGGGAGCGAACAGG
rnacentral:rRNA from 1 species